rnacentral:rRNA from 1 species
UAUUGGACAAUGGGGGCAACCCUGAUCCAGCCAUGCCGCGUGCGUGAAGAAGGUCUUCGGAUUGUAAAGCACUUUCAGUUGGGAGGAAGGGCUUUAGGCUAAUACCCUCAAGUCUUGACGUUACCAACAGAAUAAGCACCGGCCAACUCUGUGCCAGCAGCCGCGGUAAUACAGAGGGUGCAAGCGUUAAUCGGAAUUACUGGGCGUAAAGCGCGCGUAGGUGGUUCAGUAAGAUGGGUGUGAAAUCCCCGGGCUUAACCUGGGAACUGCUUUCAUAACUGCUGAGCUAGAGUACGGUGGAGGGUAGGGGAAUUUCCUGUGUGGCGGUGAAAUGCGUAGAUAUAGGAAGGAACACCAGUGGCGAAGGCGACUACCUGGACUGAUACUGACACUGAGGUGCGAGAGCGUGGGGAGCAAAC